rnacentral:rRNA from 1 species
GGGGUUGACGGUACCCUACUAGAAAGGAGCCGCUAACUUCGUGCCAGAAGCGUCGGUAAUACGGGGGCUCCAAGCGUUAUCCGGUGUUAUUGGGCGUAAAGAGUCGUGUAGGUGGUUGGGUAAGUUAUCUUUCAAAUAUCUUUGCUUAACAAAGAGGAGGGGGAUAAUACUGCUCGACUAGAAUUUUCUCAAGGGAGAUCGGAACUGAGGGAGGAGUAGUGAAAUGCGUUGAUACCCUCGGGAACACCAGUGGCGUAGGCGGAUCUCUGGGAGAAGAUUGACACUGAGACACGAAAGCUAGGGGAGCGAAGCAGAUUAGAGACCUGCGUAGUCCUAGCCGUAAACGCAUGCUUGCUAGCUGCAUGAAUCUACCUUCGGGUGGUAUCGUGUGGCGAAGGUAACCCGUUAAGCAAGCCGCCUGGAAAGUACGGCCGCAAGGCUGAAAUUCAAAGGAAUUGGCGGGGAGGCACACAACCAGUGGAACAUGUGGUUUAAUUCGAGACUAACCGAAGAACCUCACCAGGGUUUGACAUGUAGCUGCACGUCUUAAGAAAUUAAGACUCUCUUGAGGGUGCUACACAGGUGCUGCAUGGCUGUCGUCAGCUCGUUCCGUGAGGAGUGCCCUUAAGUGGGACAACGAGCGCAACCCCUAUUACAUGUUAGAAAUGUCAUGUAAGACUGCCUUGCCAUUUGGCGGGGAGGAAGGAGGGGCAGACGUCAAGUCCGCAUGGUCCUUAUGCCCUGGGCUACACACAUGUUACAAUGAGUACGGCAAUGAGUCUGUCGCGAGCACGUAAGUGUAAGCUAAUCUCUUAAAUGUACUCUCAGUGGGGAUUGAGGUCUGCAACUCGACCUCAUGAACACGGAAUUGGUAGUAAUCGCGGGUCAGCUAUACCGCGGUGAUACGUUCUUGCCUCUUGCACACACCGCCCGUCAAACCAGCAAAGUCGAUUGUAUCCGAACCUCUCUUUU